AUUGAACGCUGGCGGCAGGCUUAACACAUGCAAGUCGAGCGAGCGGCGGACGGGUGAGUAAUGUCUGGGAAACUGCCCGCUGGCGGGGGAUAACUACUGGAAACGGGAGCUAAUACCGCAUAACAUCAGAUGUGCCCAGAGGGGAUUAGCUCGUAGGUGGGGUAAUGGCUCACCUAGGCGACGAUCCCUAGCUGGUCUGAGAGGAUGAGCAGCCACACUGGAACUGAGACACGGUCCAGAAUCCUACGGGAGGCAGCAGUGGGUAAUAUUGCACAAUGGGCGCAAGCCGGAUGCAGCCAUGCCGCGUGUGUGAAGAAGGCCUUCGGGUUGUAAAGCACUUUCAGCGAGGAGGCGUUACUCGCAGAAGAAGCACCGGCUAACUCCGUGCCAGCAGCCGCGGUAAUUC
rnacentral:rRNA from 1 species